AUUUUCAGAGGAGUGAAACAUUUGGAGGUCCAUCAAGGGAUUGGCUAGGCGUAUAUGAUGAAUGCUCAAACUUGUCCAUUGCGACUAUACUUCCUCAAAAGUGCUAACCUUGGAGUAUGUUCCAGGAAUUAAGAUAAAUGACAUGGAAAAAAUAGAGGCACUGGGCUACAAUCGCAUCUAUGUUAAGUAUGGACUACAAAGCUUUACCUGAUUUAAUUUCAAUUUUCUCUUUGACGCAUAUUUAUGAUAUGGUAUGUGAUGCAAUAUUUUAUCCUCACUGGUGAGUCAAUUCCCAUUAUAUCUAUAAUGGUGUGGCCAUUCUCUAACAUUGCAGUUUUGUAAUACUUUUUCUGUAGCUUUUACAUAUCCCAAGAGGGAUUUAAUU